rnacentral:rRNA from 1 species
AAGGAUCACUAAUAGUAAAUGCCUUCGGGGCUCUCUAAUCACACACCCCCUGUGCACUUUGGCCACUUGCAUUACGUUUUGUAGUGUGGGUGUGUCUCUUUAUACUUAUACCCUAUAUACACAGUCAUUGAAUGUAAACACUUUUAAUUAAUAUAACUUUCAACAACGGAUCUCUAGGUUCUCGCAUCGAUGAAGAACGCAGCGAAUUGCGAUAAGUAAUGUGAAUUGCAGAAUUCAGUGAAUCAUCGAAUCUUUGAACGCAUCUUGCGCUCUUUGGUAUUCCGAAGAGCAUGCCUGUUUGAGUGUCAUGAAACUCUCACCUCUGGCCUUCUUUCAUUAGAGGAGUUGGGGCGUGGACGUGAGUGCUGCUGGUGCCCUGGUUGCAUCGGCUCACUUGAAAUAUAUUAGCUGAAUCCUCUAGAGGUGGUUCUACUCGACGUGAUAAGAUCUCCGUCGAGGACAGUCUUGCGGCUUCGCCGCGGGCUGGCCAACUUUAUUGUUGAUACGCUUCUAAUUAGCGCAGACUACGUGAGCUGGCAACUUUUGACAACUUGGCCUCAAAUCAGGUAGGACUACCCACUGAACUUAA